AUGAACCUAAUGUUAUACAUAGGCCGCGCCGAGAAUAUAUUCUUGAGCUUAACGUGUACAUGCUUAAUAGGUAUAAUGAUAAUCACACGUGUAAACCGAGAGAAUAAUUGGCAGAACAGUAUGAGAACUUGUCGUGAUCAAUUCCCUCAUGAUUUGAAUGAUAAUCUGAUUUUAGCCUUGAUAAGGGGCUUUGCAGCAAUGCUUAACAAGUCCAGCAUCACUGCUUGCCUGCCCCUUCCCAAAUCAGCUGAGGAUCCCCUGCCUAUGGGAAUAAUUCCAACGGAUAUAGAAACCAGUCUAUUACGUCUCUGGAAUCAAAGCUCUUGGUCCGACCCUGAUAGGGGCUUCAUACCCUUUGAUCAUGGGUCCCCUUUUAUUCCCACGUCAAGUGGAUCAGCGCUGUGGUCUUGCCGAAUGGUGAUAAAUUGCUCCAACUGGGAACAAUACAAGUGUGUUCAGUAUUACUGGUCAGUUUACCCGACCCUAAAAAUGGGCUGCCUGUGCCGAAACCACAGCGUGCCCUACGCAUACAUAGGAUCAGAAUUCGCACCCCGCAACGACUGCCACAUCACCUCCAGCGAUGCACCAGCAGGCCUAAUUUGGGCCUGUAGUGAUGGUCACAUGUAUACUACCUUAUCUGCUAGACUGCCUAACCCCCAAUGUACACUAGGCAUCCCCACUUUGUGCCCUGUAUGGAAGAGGACCCCAGUCCAGCCCCACCGGUUUGCUCACACAAGAAGGGAGCUGGGAGGUGAGGCUGAGGGGUGGCAGGACCUGGGAGCAGCUGUCCGAAUAGCAUGGGGAAUGGAAGGAUUUGGGGGAUUUGGGUCCGCUACAGUACGAAYGCGGUUGUGGAUAAGUAAAUUAGCCUACCAAGUAGAACUUUUAGCCAACGCCACGCGAGACAGCUUGUCCUUGAUCAACACACAAUUGCAAGCUAYGACUAAGAUGGCUCUGCAGAAUCGCCUGGCACUGGACCUGAUGCUACUGCACCAAAAUGGACUGUGUGGCUACCUCAAUCUCUCGAGCACGGACUGCUGUGUUUACAUCCCAAACGUCACACAGGACCUCAACACCCAACUAGAAACCAUACGACAGGUGGCCAAAGAUACUCGCGAGCUCUGA
rnacentral:lncRNA from 1 species